rnacentral:rRNA from 1 species
GCGCAGCAGGCGAGAAUACUUUACAAUGUGCGAAAGCACGAUAAGGGAACUCUGAGUGCCUCCUAAGGAGGCUGUUCAGGUGUCUAAAAGCACCUGAAGGAAGGGCUGGGUAAGACCGGUGCCAGCCGCCGCGGUAACACCGGCAGCCCAAGUGGUAGCCACGUUUAUUGGGUCUAAAGCGUCCGUAGCCGGCUGGGUAAGUUCCUUGGGAAAUUUGGCUGCUUAACAGUCAAGCUUUCAGGGAAUACUGCCCGGCUUGGGACCGGGAGAGGUCAGAGGUACUCCAGGGGUAGGGGUGAAAUCCAUUAAUCCUUGGGGGACCACCGGUAGCGAAGGCGUCUGACCAGACCGGGUCCGACGGUGAGGGACGAAGGCUAGGGGCGCGAACCGGAUUAGAUACCCGCGUAGU